CCCUGCUCCCUUUACACCCUCACCCUAGAAGAAGAUAGUGACAUAGCAUCUGCAAAAUGACACAAGAUGGCAGCUGCAUGGGAUGAAAACUUCUUGUUGCAGGAUGGUUUGAGUUGGGAAUGAGCUGGCUCCAGGAGGAUGAGGAUGGAGACAUGGACCAGGAGCCAGCCAAGCAUCAACAGAGAACAGCACCAGUGCCCCACAACAAAUAAGCAUCAGUCUGAGGACUCUGAGAACCAGUGGGAAACUGCCACGAACAGGGAGAGGAGAGUUCAAAAGCACAGAGGUGAUU
rnacentral:lncRNA from 1 species